CCCUUAGAUGUUCUGGGCCGCACGCGCGCUACACUGACGAAUGCAACGAGCUUAUAACCUUGGCCGAAAGGUCUGGGUAAUCUCCAAAUUUCGUCGUGAUGGGGAUAGAUUAUUGCAAUUAUUAAUCUUCAACGAGGAAUGCCUAGUAAGCGCGAGUCAUCAGCUUGCGUUGAUUACGUCCCUGCCCUUUGUACACACCGCCCGUCGCUCCUACCGAUUGAAUGGUCCGGUGAAGCGUUCGGACCGUGGCCUUUGGACGGUUCGCCGUCUGUUGGCUGCGGGAAGUUCGUUAAACCUUAUCAUUUAGAGGAAGGAGAANUCGUAACA
rnacentral:rRNA from 1 species